rnacentral:misc_RNA from 1 species
AUCAUGGUGCUGGAUUUAAAUUCCCCGGCCCACACGUUGUGGAAGAGCGAUCGUAAGUUUCAAUUAAUCCAUAAUAAACGGGCUAGUUUUUGUUAAUUGGCCAGUAAAAUGUACGUGGAAGACUUCAAGGAACGUUUACCCGAAAUUUCGGAUGCUUUGGAGUUGUAUCGGAUCCAGCUGGAAGCCCCAGUCCCAAUACCGAUUCUAUGCGAUGAUAUUCUGGCAGAUAAGCCCAAUUUCCUUGGCCAAGACUACCACGGAGCAAUCAGCCACGUGAACGCCUCCGACCUGCUAAAUUCCCAAGAAAAUGGGGCUUACUUGGUGCGAAGCAGCAAGUCGGCAAACGGUCAAUUUUACACGCUGAGUUUAAAAUUCAACAGCAAAAUUCACCACUACAAGCUCUAUGUGGAUCCUGACGGAGGCCUCUAUGUGAGGGAGAAACGUUAUGAUUGUGCUCGAUCCCUGGUUGCUGAUGGAUUAGUCACCAUGUAUUUAGAGCUGAAGGCGCCCAUGAUUUUGCAAAGGUUGACCAGCGUGAACUACCACGAAAGCCCCUACAUGACUUUCACGCUAAACAAGCGGAAAUUGCGAGCCCUGUCCAAGCAGAACGCUCUAAACAAGAGCGUAUCGGAAAGCAAUUUUGCGCCCAACAAUAUCCCACUGUCUCAGCAAAUAUUGGGGCACAAUCUGCCGGAAAAUGUUGCCCCAGUGAAGCCCCACGUGUUUAAGCCCACCACAUUCAAGGGCUUGAACUGGUGCGAACUUUGCGCCAACUUUUUAUGGGGCUUCACCCUGCAAGGCAAAAAGUGUGAGGAUUGUGGCGUGAUUGCACACAUUAAAUGCUCGGAAAAAUUCGCCAACGAUUGCGUUCCCGACCUAAAGUAUCUACGCGGGGUGUUUGGAAUCGAACUAACCACCUUGCUGAGCGCCUAUAAAACGGAAAUUCCCUUUGUGGUGAAGAAAUGCGUGGCUGAAGUCGAAGCCAGGGGCCUGACGACUGAGGGAAUCUAUCGCCUCAGUGGAUUCGCCGAUGAAAUCGAUGCCAUUAAAAUGGCUCUGGAUAAAGACGGUGAAAAGGCGGAUUUGUCGAUGGAGAAGUACCCGAACGUGAACGUGAUCACUGGGGCCCUGAAACUUUACCUUCGGAUCCUCCCAGUGCCUUUGAUCACUUUCGAAAUACAUCCCCGACUUAUUGACGCCAUUCAGCAUUCCGACCAGGAUUUGCGACUGUCGUCAAUUAAACAUGCUCUGCUGCUCUUGCCAAAGCCCCACUACGACACGUUGAAGUUCAUGAUUCAGCACCUGCACAGGGUGGCUCGACACGCGCCAAUCAACAAAAUGAACGCCCUCAAUUUGGCCACGGUUUUUGCGCCCACUCUCAUCCAUCAUCCGCCCAAUAUUAUUCCGGACGUUCGGAGCGACAUUUUGCUGCUGGAAGUGAUGAUCAAUAAAUGCGAAACCGUUUUUUUUAAGUAGCGCAAAUUGAGGCGGUUUGUGAUGGUUGCUGGCUUUUCCGCUCGUGGGGAAAAGUUGUAUUUAUUUUAUAAUGGUCUUGUAGUCGUUUUAUAUGCUUGUGCGUCUAAUGGUUAUACAUUUAAUGUUGCGUCUCUAGGUUGGCAAAGUCCCCAGGUUUUUAAAUUUGUCAUUUUUUAGCUCUCUAUCAAAAUACAGUGCACAAACCCGGCAAAAGUCGGCACUGAACGUUACUCGAUUUGUGAUAUAAACGCGAAACUCGAAAUAUUUUCCUGCCCUUUUUCACAUAAACAUUCCCUUAGUGGUUGCGUUUUAUUAUGUUCUCUAUGUGCUUAGUGUUACGGACAGCAACCAUACAAAUUAAGAAGCGUGAAUGAGGCGCUUGCUAGCAUGCGGAAAAAGUUUGAUUUUAAGCGUCUCAUUGGCGCUGUUUAAAUCAGGUAUUUUUAGACAGUUUUACAUGUGAAGCCUUGAGGAAUGGAAAAAUAUAUCCGCAUACACUUUGACUGUUUGUUAUCUGUUGUCUGCUAUUUAUCGUUGUGAAAGUCCCCCAACAGUCAGAAGGUCUUCUUCGGUGAAGACGCACACUUCCGCAAGUUUAGCGGCCUUUGCGACCAAAUGGCGAGCGGCAAAAUUAUAUUUAUAAUUUUCUACCGUUCGCUGAUCGUCGCAUCUAAGGCGCUGAUUCCUGCUGGGGAGUUCCACGUGGGUGGGAUCUUUGUCAUUGGAGAAAUACACGCUCGAAGGAGUUGAGCGAUUGCAAACUGUCGCCGCUACAGUGGCCGUUUUCGAACGAUAUUUUCCCGGGGCAAAUCAGAAUCCAGCGAUGCCGAUGGAUGAAUUGCCGCCCUGGAAAAGGCCAGAAUUGAUCCUUGGAAGUCACCGUUUUCCAACCAACCGCUCGGAGUGUGAAUGGCAAUGGUGCUUCCUCCGAUUCCAGCUUUCAUCUUGUCGACCAUCUGCUUAGCUGCGAUCAUUUCUUCCAGCUCGGCCUUUUCUUCGGCCAUUUGAACAUGUUCAGUCUCGGAAAGUUCUAAAAUAAACGUUAUCUCCUGCUU